rnacentral:rRNA from 1 species
CCGUUGUGGAGAAGAAGGGGGUAGAGGAAGAGGUGGUGGCCGGUGGUGGCGUCGGUCCGACCGCACCACCCCGCGGAAGCGGUGGGUAGGUAGAUAGGUAGUGAUCGCGGGGAGUGGUGGUCGCGGGUAGAGCGGACAGCAUGGGCGCGCGGAGGUGGAUGAUGACUAAGAGGAACGGCGAGGGAAGCGAAUGGAGCGACAAGAAGAAGAAGGGCUGCAGGAGGGACGACGGGAAGACGAAGAGGAGACGAAAGGGAGAGGAUCGCGUAGUUGAACGACGAAGAAGAAGAACGCGGCUCGAUGGCUACGAGGAAGAAGAGGACAUGGACGACGACGAGAAGUGGAAGAGAACGGGGUUUGACGACGACGAGAGAGAGGUUGCGGGGACGACGAGGAGGGAAGAGAGACUUGGAGGGAAGCGACUAGGAGGGAGAACGAAGUGGGGACGACGAGGAGGAGAGUUGCAGAACGAGGAAGGGAAGAGCCUUUGGAGUUUUGACGACGACGAGGAAGAAAGGUUCGAGGCGACGACGAAAAAGGAACAACACGGGACGACGUGGAGGAGGAGAAUAAGGAAUGGAGGAGACGGCGACGAGAGAAAUCUAGAGAGAGAGAGAGAUACUUAAAAGAUAUUCGAUUCUACACAUUUUGAAACAUUUUAAGUCCAAAAUUCUCACAACCGUUAGACAUCGAACAAGACAAACCAUGAACAUUAUAUAUUACGAACUGAUCAUAAUGAAAUCCAACACUCUUUAUUAACAGUAACUUUAGAACGAGACACUAAGUCAUUGGAAGAUCAUAAACACACACAAGUGGAAAACAUGAUCAAUUGAAACAUACACAAACUUGGGUAGCUUUAUUGAUCAGGGACAUAAUGGAUACAUGGACACUGUAUAUACGAACACUAUAUUUGUAAAAGGACACUGUAUAUACGAACACUAUAUAUGGACUUAUAAGACAGUAUACGAACGAUCUAUAUAUACAGGUACAGAAAACUGAAGGGAACAGUAACUACAAUCAUAAAAUUAAAGAGUUCGUAAUGCUUUUGUGGUUUUUCUGUUACUCAUUUUAGACUUAGAGGGACACGAGAAACGAAAGAGAAACAGCAGAUGAAACCAAUCAAAUCCAGAUAUAAAGGAGCGUUAGUAGUAGACUUAAGAAAGUGGAUCGAAAUCAGCUCGUAGCAAACGCAGCGGAUCAGGGACACCUCUUGUGCUGUGAGCGUCAAACCGGCUUUUUGGGGUUACAUGAGUGUUAUCUAGUAAAACCGCGGCAACGGCCCCGGAUCGCAGCUCACUGACACAAUCCGAUAUCUGAUCCAAAAAGAAGAAAACGAUCAAACACGGUAUAUACACUAUAUAGAGAUUGAGUAUUGGGAACAAGGUCAAAUAAAGGAGAAACAAAAUAAAAUGAAAAAACGUCCAAUCUUGGUAAAAGAGCCGAUACCGAAUGAUAAGUCUAGUGGUCCGAAUACGCUCGUUGUGAUGUUUGUUGUGUCUUUCAUAAGUUCUGGACUAUUCAUUCCAAAGGGUAGUUAAUCUACUAAAUCGAGCGGUCGCUCUUCAUCAAAAACUCCUAUCCGGAUCGAGAAUGCUAGGAAUAAGAUCUCCGGUAGCAAUACAACGAGGAUGGACGGUAUAAACACCUAAAGUCCCGGUAAGCGGGUGACUUACAAUCGCACCAAUGAGAGUAGGAGGUAUAACAAAACCGUACUCGAAGCGAGUCCUCGUAUCGAGUAUGGUUUUGUUAAUGAGUGUACCCACCGGACUUUUGGGUUUAUACAGUAUAUCCUCGUUGUUGGGACUCUAGAGUGACAAACGGAGAUCAAUAGGUUAUGUCCCUCAAUCCAUACUUCUCCUCUCGUUGUUGAUACGUGGUGUUGUUAAAAUAAGUGGAGGAUGAGUAUAUGGAGUUGUGGUCCUCUACACAGGUUACCUCAAUUUACCAGGAGGUGAACCAAUUGGUUGUUGAGGUCGUGUACAACUCGUUAGGGUACGUGUUCACGGGUGUGUUCUACUGAAACUACUAUAUCUGUUCGAGUGUAACGAAUCGGAGCUCAAGUGAACCUCACGACUUCUACUAGGUUAAUCCGGCCACUAUGAUCUCCUUUACUUCUUCUAGUUCUCACCUUUUCUCGAUCACCUUCUUCAUUCCUUUUAACUCUCCUUAUAAUUACAGCCCACGUGAUAGAGUAGGGAGGAACUCAACUCACAACGGCCCUAUAGGGAACUCCACACACUCCAAAGUUGUGGCAGUGUAAGUCGACUCAUUCUAUCGCUCUCAGGUAUCCUUCUCUAUGAAGUCUAGGUUCUUCUUUAUGAACUUCUGUUCCUUGUUCUGCUAGAUCUCGACGUUAAGGGUUCACUAGUUCUACUUCUGUUUUCUAGAUGAUGAGAACUUCUUCAUUUUCUUCAACAACAUCUACUUGAACUUCUUGGUCUUUAAGUAAACGGAUAACAGUAUGUUCUCGCACUACACAGUCCAAAUAGAUUAGGAGAAUUACUGUACAGAGGUAUACUAAACAAACGAUGAUGGAACGUAACGUAAUACGGUAGUGAAUUCCAUCUAAACUUUUUGAUAAACGAACCUAAACUAGUAUGUGUGGAACAAUCACCGUGACGAGUAUAGAGACAAGUACUAUGAAUACAAGGACUACAAUAUGGGUACGAAUUACUUUGCACACUAAGAUUAUGAUCGUAACUCGAAUGACUAAACAUGGUAGGAUUUGAACACAAAAUAUCGAUACGAAUACAUUAACCCAUGAGAUAACUACUAAAUCUCCCGUAAUGAGGAUAGUGAGCAUAAUAGAGAAACCAACUCACGGAAAAGUCCAAAAACGAACACGUACUUUGUUAUGUACGACUGGCCCAGGCUCCACUGUAAGGAACCCUGGGGCCACCUGAGACUCGUACCACUACUGCUCUUCGUCCCCCGUGUGUACUUCUUCUCACUUCGACCUCGUACGUGCUCCUUCGUUUCCUGUUCUCAACGUCGAAUCUCUCACUAGUUCGCUCACGAUGUACUAGUUUCGGGCCACAUAUGGUACAAGAGCCCUAGCCACUAUACAAGGAAACCCCUCCGUUUGUUUUUUUUAAUAUUAACCAGCUCGGUCCACAUAUGGUACAAGAGCCCUAGCCACCAUACAAGGAAGCUACACUGACUAUUAUAUAAUAGUAAUGAAGGAAGUUUAAAUUAUUCACCAAGUUGGUGUUACAAUAUAAAGACGUUUAUUCACUAAAUUAAGUUCAAGGAAAACAAAAAUCCUAGUACGAGAGAAAUCCUUGGAAACCGUAUCAGUUGUAAACUUGAACGAUUAUAAGAACAUAGUAACAUUUUCAAAUUUUGCUGGCUAAGAUGAUCAUAGGAUAACGAAACAUUGUGAGAAUUGGUAACUAAAAGUGAUCGAUACAGGUUUCGUACGUUACAAACCUCUAGGUGAAGUGACCAUGUAAGAGAUCAGUCG